rnacentral:rRNA from 1 species
CACGUAGGGUGCGAGCGUUGUCCGGAAUUAUUGGGCGUAAAGAGCUCGUAGGCGGUGUGUCGCGUCGGCCGUGAAAACCUGGGGCUUAACCCUGAGCUUGCGGUCGAUACGGGCAUGACUGGAGUUCGGCAGGGGAGACUGGAAUUCCUGGUGUAGCGGUGAAAUGCGCAGAUAUCAGGAGGAACACCGAUGGCGAAGGCAGGUCUCUGGGCAUUAACUGACGCUGAGGAGCGAAAGCAUGGGGAGCGAACAGG